rnacentral:lncRNA from 1 species
AUCUGCCUGCUUCUGCCUCCCCAGUGCUGGGAUUAAAGGCGUGCACCACCAACGACAGGCUGGCAGAAGAGACUUUAAAGAUGUAAUUAGGAGACCCAGAGGCAGUGCUGGACUACCCAGGACUCGGGAU